CCUAAACCGGGUGUAAAGCGGACCUCGCACCUCCUUCUGCUUCAGGUCCCCCCCUGCCUGGGGGACAUCCAGGGUCGAAGGUCCCUGCGUCGGGGCUUCUGGGCACUGUACACAAUCACUUUCAUCAGCCGCUGCCUACUUAAUGGGCAGGAAAGAGCAUUUCCUUUUAGAUUUAUCUAGGCGACCCGAGAAGAUGCCGCUCGGAAGAUAGCUGGGGUUCCUGUUCGACGUCUUCAGGAGCUGGCUGAGCCGCGCAGUCUUCCUCUGCAGUCUCUGGCCGCCUCCAUUGCGAUUCCCAACCCACCCGAGGAGAGGACGGACCCAGUAGCUGAGACGAAAUGGCUUGGGCUUGCUCUGCAUCGUGCUGAUACGAUCAAAGGGAAUAGCCGGGGGUUUCUGAGAGCCCAGCUAUUUGGAUCAUUCAUGAUUUGCUGCCAUUGUGAACACUCUUAAUGCGAGAACUCUGCCACAGAAAUGCUGAUUAAUA
rnacentral:lncRNA from 1 species